UAAGACAGAGGUGCCGAGCGUUAGGCGGAAUCACUGGGCUUAAAGCGUGUGUAGGCGGGCGGGCAAGUACCUUGUGAAAUCCCACGGCUCAACCGUGGAACUGCUGGGUAUACUGCCUGUCUUGAGCCAGCCAGGGGCAGUCGGAACAGACGGUGGAGCGGUGAAAUGCGUAGAUAUCGUCUGGAACGCCAAAGGUGAAAACAGACUGCUGGGGCUGUGCUGACGCUGAGACACGAAAGCCAGGGGAGCGAACGGGAUUAGAUACCCCGGUAGUCCUGGCCCUAAACGAUGUCGACUAGAUCGUGGUGCCUCUGACGGCUUCACGGUCGAAGCAAAAGUGCUAAGUCGACCGCCUGGGAAGUACGGUCGCAAGGCUA
rnacentral:rRNA from 1 species